CAUGCUCGUCGCACGCGCUUUCGUUGCAUGAAUUACAGGUGCUUGCACCGAAGAUGAUUUUAGCUAUAAAGUGAGUGGCGAACGGGUGAGUAACACGUGGGUAACCUGCCCAGAAGUGGGGGAUAACACCUGGAAACAGAUGCUAAUACCGCAUAACAAAGUAAACCGCAUGGUUUACUUUUAAAAGAUGGCUUCGGCUAUCACUUCUGGAUGGACCCGCGGCGUAUUAGCUAGUUGGUGAGAUAAAGGCUCACCAAGGCAGUGAUACGUAGCCGACCUGAGAGGGUAAUCGGCCACAUUGGGACUGAGACACGGCCCAGACUCCUACGGGAGGCAGCAGUAGGGAAUCUUCCACAAUGGACGAAAGUCUGAUGGAGCAACGCCGCGUGAGUGAUGAAGGCUUUAGGGUCGUAAAACUCUGUUGUUGGAGAAGAACGUGUGUGAGAGUAACUGCUCAUGCAGUGACGGUAUCCAACCAGAAAGCCACGGCUAACUACGUGCCAGCAGCCGCGGUAAUACGUAGGUGGCAAGCGUUAUCCGGAUUUAUUGGGCGUAAAGCGAGCGCAGGCGGUCUUUUAAGUCUAAUGUGAAAGCCUUCGGCUUAACCGAAGAAGUGCAUUGGAAACUGGAAGACUUGAGUGCAGAAGAGGACAGUGGAACUCCAUGUGUAGCGGUGAAAUGCGUAGAUAUAUGGAAGAACACCAGUGGCGAAGGCGGCUGUCUGGUCUGUAACUGACGCUGAGGCUCGAAAGCAUGGGUAGCGAACAGGAUUAGAUACCCUGGUAGUCCAUGCCGUAAACGAUGAAUGCUAAGUGUUGGAGGGUUUCCGCCCUUCAGUGCUGCAGCUAACGCAUUAAGCAUUCCGCCUGGGGAGUACGACCGC
rnacentral:rRNA from 1 species